UACGUAGGGUGCGAGCGUUAAUCGGAAUUACUGGGCGUAAAGCGUGCGUAGGCGGUUCGUUAAGUUCGUUGUGAAAGCCCCGGGCUCAACCUGGGAACUGCAUUUGUGACUGCAUGGCUAGAGUACGGUAGAGGGGGAUGGAAUUCCGCGUGUAGCAGUGAAAUGCGUAGAUAUGCGGAGGAACACCGAUGGCGAAGGCAAUCCCCUGGACCUGUACUGACGCUCAUGCACGAAAGCGUGGGGAGCAAACAGG
rnacentral:rRNA from 1 species